rnacentral:lncRNA from 1 species
CUUUAAACAUCACAAAUCUGCAAACCAAAAUCCAAAUAACUUUCUUCUCUGAUCUCUAACAUUGACUGUCAUAUUCACUUGGAUUUAAAGUAUGUUCUUCUACUCAUUGAUGAGUACUGAUCUACUAAACUAUACUGAUCAUCAAAUCGUCGCUUAGAGCUCACUAAUUGGAUCAUUUUAAAAAAAAAACUUAAUAGCUCAGUGACUUAAAUAAAAUAAAAAACUUUUGAAUAGUUCAGUGACCAUUUUGUAACUUUCUAAAGUUGAGUGGCUAAAACGGAAACUUGCUAAUAAUUCAGUGACCUUGGAUGGAGUUUACCCAAUAUUUAUAACAAUAUAUAUCAUCGAUCGUUUAUUUCACUUGAAGUUGGAGGCACAUCAAAACAAAAGGCGACAGAGGAGAAAGAGGUAAUUGAUUAGGUGAUAGCAGGAAGAUGCAGGGCCAUACUCAUGAUCAACUAACCCACCAAGCCCAUCACUCACACGCAGCGCAACCUCAUGUACCACACCCAGCGCCACCGCAUGUAUCAAAUCACCCGCCCCCAGGGCCGCCACCUCCACAGCCUUCAUAUGUACCAGCGGGUCCUGAUCCACCUUCAGUGCCUGCAUAUGCACCACCAGGUCCUCCUCCUUCUCAUCACCACCAUGGUCCACCACCACCUUCUGUGCCCGCAUAUGCACCACCUGGUCCUCUUCCAUCACGCCCCCAAGUCCCCCCUCGGCCACCUCAGGAGCAAGGCUGCUGUGUGAUAAUAUAAGUAAGAUUUGCAAAUGUAGUUGAUGUUGACAUUAAUUAAAUAAAGUAGUGUUAAUUUUGCUGAGUUAUUUAGAUAGAAUCGGGUUUGUAGUUCAUAUUUGUAUGUAUGGUAAUGGUAAUGGUAGCUUCAUCAGGCCCUUCUCCUGUGGCAUUUUUAUGGUAUCUUGGUCUUAAUAAAAUGAAUUUUAAUUAGUAUGGUAUUGCUUCCAUUUUUAUAUUGCUUUAUAUCGAUUCAUCC